rnacentral:rRNA from 1 species
GAUGAACGCUAGCGGCAGGCCUAAUACAUGCAAGUCAAGGGGAUAGCAAUAUCACCGGCGGACGGGUGCGUAACGCGUACACAACGUGCCCAAGGGCGGAGGAAAGCGGCGGGAAACUGCCGGUAAUACUCCAUGGUGUUGUUGAGUGGCAUCACUUAACAACUAAAGUACAAGCGCCCUUGGAUCGGUGUGCGUUCGAUUAGCUAGUUGGCGGGGUAACGGCCCACCAAGGCUUCGAUCGAUAGGGGGUGUGAGAGCAUCGACCCCCCACACGGGUACUGAGACACGGACCCGACUCCUACGGGAGGCAGCAGUAAGGAAUAUUGGACAAGUGGGCGGAAGCCUGAUCCAGCCAUCGCCGCGUGAAGGACGAAGGCGCUCGGCGUUAGUAAACUUC